CGGCAGGGGCCGCUGGCCUCUUUCUCAGUGCGCGCGGAGGCGGGUGGGUGGUGGCGCUUGGGGCGUGCACGUGCUCCCCGUGGGGGCCGGUACCGCGAGCCCUUAACGGUCCUGAGCCCCAGCCGUCUCCGCCAGCGGCGGCCGAGCGGGCCGGGGGGCUGGCUGAAGAGAUGAAAGCAAUGGAAGUCUUCCGAUGGCCUAAGCAAGCACCAGCGUGACCACAAGAUGUCCCAAGAGCAUGAGUUCUAGUGUGUUUUGCUGGGAAGUUCAGAAGCUCACAGAGAUGGCCUCUGUGGUGAAAGCCUCUGAGCGUGCAAAAGGCAUGUAGGAAAAAAUUACAAAGUGCUGAUUGCCCAGCUGUCCUGCAACUUCCUUCAUGAGGAAGAAUUGUUGGAACCGGCCUGAGACCAGUGGCAGUCUAUGCAAGACUACUCCAUAGGAAACAAAAAGCUGUUAAAAAGAUGGAGUGUUAAACCUGCACGUAGUAACACAAGGUGCUUUAAACUGUAUUGGGGCAGUGUCUGGUAAUAUUCAUGUAGAGAAAAAAAAAUAAAGAUUUCUGUUACUGUUACCAGAAUUUCUAUCUUUCCCAAGCUGUAAUAGCAGUUGCUUCUGUUUGACAGUUCUGACUUCCCAACAUUGUGUUUGAGACACAAAUUCACUGUUUUGGACUAAGUAAAACCUAGGAGCUGUUAAGUGUAUGGGAGGUGAUCACUGAAACCAUGGUCUUCUGUAGUACUUGGGAGAUUGGGUUAACGGAGAUUUGUAUUGUGGUGAGGAAAAGUAAAAAUUAAAAUUCAGCAAACCUGGGUUUAAAAAUAGCAGGAAAGGUGUUUCUCCAGCAUGGAAAACUGCAAGCUUGGUCAGCUGCAGAAUAUGGUACUUCAACUCAACUUGAAGUAGGGUGAAAUAUUGUAGGUAUAACAACUGGAAUUCCUGCUUGUCUUUUGAGGAAGGCUUCUCAUAAAUUAAUUAUAUGAGACAAGCAAGUGCUGAAAUCAUGUAUCUUGCAAUGUCUGAUUUUUCAGUACUGAAUGUAAGCAAAUUACUAAUGCAAAGUCUAAGCAUAAGUUAAUUUUUGGUUUGUCAAGAGGGAAGGAGGCUUAGACAAGAGUAAUUAAUUUUUAGUGAUGCAGCGUACAAUUACUGGAUGCGCUUGAAAGCUUAGAGUUUCUUUUAGGGAUUAUGUUCCCCAAAGAUACCAUCUGUUCAGGAGUUUUGCUCAUGGGUCUUUGUUCUUAAAGUGCAACACUGGCAGGAGUAGCUAUUAAGACUUUUUUGAAACUCCUGAGAGCAACAGCUAAUGCCAAGUUUUAAUGAUGGCUGUCUAAAAUGUUAAUUCUCUUUCAACAAGAAAAACUGUAGAAUCUUAACCUUCAGUGGCUAAUACCUGUUUCAUAGUGUGGUAGAACAAUGAAAAAGUGAGGUAGAGGGAGAAAGGAGCACUGAUUACUAAAAUAGUAAUGCUGGUAAACAUUGAGUAUGGUGUUAAGAACCAGGAUUGCCGUUGAGUUUUUAUGAGUGGCUAACUGGAAUGUAGCCCUGGAAAAAACCUCAAGACUGCUUUAUAAUUUUUUUUCCCUUCCUCUGUUUUACAUGAACACAAUGCCUGACAGACUGUUGAAGUUGACGGUAUUAAAAAGUAGAAAGGAGUAUAGGUUCCGAGGUGGUUGGGGGGGAACAAGAGAACAAAGAUCUGUGCCCUUGGUUAGUGUUGCACCAGACCUUCUUUCUGUUGCUUGCCUCCAGUGCAAGUGUCUCUGCAUUAAAAGGUGCAGAUCCGAACACAGAAAGAAAGCUGGCAUAUUCUGAAUUCCUCUUUAGCUUUUCAGCACACUGCAUCUGAGUUGACUAACGCUAGCUCUAUUAAAUGGUCUGUGUCAGUGGAUGACCUGGGGGGUGACUUUUUGAACAUAAAUCUGUUACCUCUUUUGCCUAGCAAAGGGGCUUAGUUGAAGUAGAUUUAACAACAUUAUUUUAUGAAGAAUGUAGCCUCCAUUCUGAUAUCUUCAUUGGGGAAAGAAUUGCAUAGUCUUAGCUAUUUUUGAGAUCUUAACAUUACUGUAAGAAAGGUGUAUCUUUAAAUUGUGGCCAGCUGGGCGAGCAGUGGUUUUAACUUCUGUAUUGGGUCUGGCUGAGAUGGAGUUAAUUUUCCCAGUAGCAGCCCUCAUGGUGCUGUGCUUUGUACUGGUAGCCAGAAAGGUGUUGAUAAGCACCAGUGCUAUGGCUGUCCCUCUGACAUUGCCCUCUCAGCUGUAGGCUGGGGGUGGGCAAGAUGUUGAGAGGGGACAUAGCCAGGACAGCUGACCCAAACUGACCAAAGGGGUAUUCCAUACUGUCUAAUGUCUGCUCAGCCACGAAAGCCAAGAGAAAGGAGGAGGAGGAGUCAGGGGGGCAUUCAGUAUUAGUUGCUUCCCUUCUGGAGUAACUGCUAUGAGUACUGAAGCCCUGCUUCUGUGAAGUGGCUGGACAUCACCUGCUGAUGAGGAGAAUGAAUCUUUUGUUUUCCUUUUCUUCCACAAGCAGCCCUUGCGUUUGCUUUAUUAAACUGCCUUUAUCUUGACCCAUGAAGUUUUUUUCCAUCUUCCUCCUUUUUCUGCCCCACCCCACCCCCAUCCUGCUGAGGAGGGGAGUGACUGGGUGGGCACCUGCUGUCCAGCCAAGGUCAAUCCACCACAACUCUUACCAAGGAGACAAAUACAGGAGAGAAAAUAAAACAGGCAUAUAAAGGAAAGAGCAUCAGCCACACUGGCUCUGCAUCUGUAUGCUUCGUUUGACAGCUCGUGUAGUCUGCUGCUGUUUUCUGGUGAUUUUUAAGUAAGAAAGGAAACUUUAGUGUGGAUAUGCACUGGAGUACAAAGCUUAUGCUCACAACUUUCUGCUACCAGGAAAAAAUACUUAAUCUGGAGAUGCUGUAUCCUCAAGUGAUUUUUAAUUGGUACUACACCUGUUUUUACCAGAUGGUGGUGUCAAAUGAAUCUGUGUUUCUGAAGGCUUUGCUCCUUUGUGUAAUGUAAAUAAGACACACAGGCAACCGUGGAAUGCCCUAAAAAUUCAAGUUUUACUUGACUUUUAAAUAACCCGGACACAAGUAUUGACACAGCCAUCUAUCAAACUCAAUUUAAAAUAAAGCACACAGUUGCUUCAUGAAUACUUAAUGUACAUAGAACAUAUGCAUCACAUUGAUAUGUUUAUGCAUGUUGUUUUCAAACAUCUUUCUAGCUUUGAAUUAAACAGGCUUUCCCCAAAGAAAAUGUGCUAUCUAUUCAUUUCAAGAUUCACCUGUAUAAAGAUGAUUAUUUGGCAACUUAAA